rnacentral:rRNA from 1 species
GACGAACGCUGGCGGCGUGCCUAAUACAUGCAAGUCGAACGGACAGGCCCUGCGCUUGUGGCGUUCUCGUUUGGCGAACGGGUGAGUAACACGCGUGUAACCUGCCCUUGUCUUUGUGAUAACUUCAGGAAACUGGGGCUAAUACCGGAUAGGAGCUCCUGCUGCACGGGGGGGAUUGGUAAGGUUCGGCGGUUGUGGAUCGUCUCGCGGCAUAUGCGCUGGUUUGGGGGGUAGUGGAUUACGAAGGCUUUGACGGGAAGCCGGCCUGAGAGGGUGAACGGCGACAUGGGGCCUGAGAGAGGCAGCAGACUCCUACGGGAGGCAGCAGGGGGGAAUAUUGCGCAGUGGGCGGAAGCGUGAUGCAGCAGCGUCGCGUGCGGGAUGACGGGCUUUGGGUUGUAAACCGCUUUCGACUGUGACGAAGCGUGAGUGACGGUAAUGGGUAAAGAAGCACCGGCUAACUACGUG